rnacentral:lncRNA from 1 species
CUGUUUUCCUUUCUCAUGAAAACGUGCGGAGGCCCUUUUUUUGUCCUUUCUUCCUUCUACUUCUGUUGUGAACUGCCCCAGAUAGCUUUUCUCCAUUUGCUUUCUUAUGAAGUCGUGCAGACCUCUUUUCUUUUCCUUCCUUUCUUUUGCUUCUUUUGUGUAAACGUGGAUGGAGACCAAAGAGGAAGAGAGGAACAGAUCCCCUUGCGUCAGUCCAUGGAGAAAAGAGCUUAGCUUCUAUCCACCCUUUUGUCUCUGC